GUGCUCGCUUUGGCAGCACAUGUACUAGGAUUGGAAUGAUACAGAGAAGACUAACAUGGCCGCUGUGCAAAGAUUCAGUGGGUGUUUAAAAACAAAAAAUUGUU
ensembl:snRNA U6 U6 spliceosomal RNA